rnacentral:rRNA from 1 species
UACGUAGGGACCGAGCGUUGUUCGGAUUUACUGGGCGUAAAGGGCGCGUAGGCGGCGUGUCAAGUCAAUUGUGAAAUCUCUGAGCUUAACUCAGAACUGCCAAUUGAUACUGAUGUGCUAGAGUGCAGAAGGGGCAAUCGGAAUUCUUGGUGUAGCGGUGAAAUGCGUAGAUAUCAAGAGGAACACCUGAGGUGAAGACGGGUUGCUGGGCUGACACUGACGCUGAGGCGCGAAAGCUAGGGUAGCAAACGGG